UACGUAGGGGGCAAGCGUUGUCCGGAUUUAUUGGGCGUAAAGAGCGUGUAGGCGGCCAAGCAGGUCCGCUGUGAAAACUCGAGGCUCAACCUCGAGACGCCGGUGGAAACUGCAAAGCUAGAGUCCGGAAGAGGAGAGUGGAAUUCCUGGUGUAGCGGUGAAAUGCGCAGAUAUCAGGAAGAACACCCGUGGCGAAGGCGGCUCUCUGGGACGGUACUGACGCUGAGACGCGAAAGCGUGGGGAGCGAACAGG
rnacentral:rRNA from 1 species